CGCCGGGGUCGCGCCGAUUUGAUCUCAACAGAUUGCGGGCGCGUUAGAAAUGCCGCUAAAGCGAGGCCCGGAAUCGAAUCCC
rnacentral:ncRNA from 2 species